rnacentral:lncRNA from 1 species
AUGGUUCAUGGGGCAGGCGGCUAAGUUUUGCACUAAUGGAUGGCUGAGAUCACGCUAAACAUGUGAUCGGACGGUUGAGAAGGUGCUUUACCAUAUGCUUCGGUGGUGGCCCACUAGUUUUGCAUGAUCGAACGACCCAUAUCACACGCCAAGUUGAUCGGACGGUGGAGAUUCAUUGCCAGUUGAGAACUAAACCAACGAUACUUUUGAGCACUGAUCGACAAUCUAGAAUCAAUCUCAGGUGCGAUCCGAUGGUCAGCAUCCUUUCCGACUUUGAAUAGGAGAUCUUUUGCGUUGAUCCACUGUCCAGAAUCGAUUUGAUGAAUGAUUGGAUGGCUGACAGCAAUGCCGACUUUGAUAAGGCUUGAUGCGAUGAUUUUUGACGAGAUCUGGAGUGUUGAUGCGAGAUUUGACAGCCAAAAGCAAGGGAUGUGGGUUGGACAUGAUUUUGAGGGCUUUUAGGACUCUGAUUUCUACCAAAAAAAAAAAAAUAUUUAUAAAUAAGG